UACAGGGGGUGCAAACGUUGCUCGGAAUUAUUGGGCGUAAAGCGCGCGCAGGCGGUCGUUCAAGUCGCGUGUGAAAGCCCCCGGCUCAACUGGGGAGGGUCACGCGAUACUGAUCGACUCGAAGGCAGGAGAGGGAAGUGGAAUUCCCGGUGUAGUGGUGAAAUGCGUAGAUAUCGGGAGGAACACCAGUGGCGAAGGCGACUUCCUGGCCUGUUCUUGACGCUGAGGCGCGAAAGCUAGGGGAGCAAACGGG
rnacentral:rRNA from 1 species